ensembl:lncRNA LINC01915 long intergenic non-protein coding RNA 1915
GGGCCCAGGAAUCCCGAAGGAGGCCGAGGCAUCAUUGUACUUAGGUCUGUCCUCUCUAGGUGUCUCCCAGAGCAACACCUUCAAGGUCUUAUCACCUCCCUGGGUACUCCCUGAAACGGGUGUGGAUGCGAGCUUCCCACAGGACUUAUAUGCCUCUCUUCAUUCUCCAAAAUAUGUUUCUCUGUGUUAUGGGCUGAACUUUGGGCUCCUCCAAAUUCGUAUGUUGAAGUGCUACAGCACCUUAGAAUGUGACUGUUUUUGCAGAUAGGGCCUUUAAAGAGGUAAUUAAGUAAACAUGAGGUCAUCCAUGUGGGCCGUAAUCCAAUAAGCUUGGUGUCUUUGUAAGAAGGGGAGAUUAGAACACAGGGAGAGACACCAGACAGAUGCAGCCCAGAGAGAUGAGCAUGUAACACACAGCAAGAAUGCAGCCACCAGGCAAGCCAAGGAGAGAGCCUUCAGAAGAAACCAACCCUGCCGACACCUUGACCUCAGACUUCCAGCCUCUAAAACGCUACUUGUGCAAGAAGCUACAAUGAGAAAAAAAAUAGCAAGAAAUAGAUGAGGGAAGGAGGUUCUGUAGAGGGAAAAACAAAGAGAGAAAAGGAGAAUGAAUUGUGCUGAGAAAGAGAUGCCUGGAUGAAGAAGCUGGCCCUAGCACCCAUAAAGCUGGAAAGAAAGUGGGGCCUUGGAAACUUCUGGAAGGAUGCGAGGAAAGAAAAAUGCAAGGAAAUGAGAUGGAGAGGAGAAAGAGAAACCAGGAAGCACUUCGGAAGCAUGUAAAUUACAAGGAAAUGAGGAACAGCCUUUAUUGAAACAGUCUGUGAAGUCUGUGCUAGCGCUGAGAGCUUCAUUUUACUGUCCUGGCAAGGAGGUAGGUGCUCAAAGAACUUUGUCUUGGAAGCCCACUGUGGCUCCCCCGGGCCUGGCACUUUAAGCCCCGUACUUUUGCUCUCACUGUUCCUCUCUGCCUGCUCCCUGUGGUCUCUUCUCGGCUGUCUCCCACUUAGCCCACCUUGGCCUGGCCAUCCGAGUAGAAUAGACUUUCAUUUUCCUUAGGUGUGCGCCGCGCAUACCGACUAACCCACUUCCUGCACAGGUGUGGCCCCUCUCCAGUGCCCAGCACCUCAUCGCUGUGGUAACAGAAGACACGCUUAUCUUCCGGAUUUUGCCUCAGAGACUUGGGCUGUACAAGCUGCUUUCCUGGGGUGGCUUGUCCUUUUGCAGUUAACCGAGAUGCCUGGGGAGAAGAGCUUCCCCCAACAGGAUGGCAGGCGAUGCUUCCAGAUGCGGUCACUUGGCACGUCUGAGCCGAAUGUCUCCAUAAAAAUAUGAUGUAAUUAACAGAGCCGCAGCAGCUGGAACAAUUCAGCACCUCACAUUGAUUUUCCAUGUCUCCUAUUUACUUUCAGUUUUUAAACUGUCUGCAGUGACAGGAAAUCAAAGAAUUAUAAUGGUGUGUGUGAGGGCCCAAUGCUGGGUCGGCAUUUCCUUGUGAAAUCCUGAGAUUAAUCAGUUUCCUAUCACUCAAUCAUCCCUUUUCACUUCUAAAGGAAAACUGUCCUCCCAAAUGCUACGAAAUAGCAGUCUAUUUUUGGAUAUUAAAAAAAUCAAUUGUAUUAUUUUAAAAUUUGAGAGGAGUGUUUUUAAAAAAAGUCAGCCCGAAGCAAUAUUCACUUAUCUGUUUUCCCAUUCAAGUUUAAUAGGAGUUGGCAAAGGCAUUUGGGUGCAGUGAGACACAAGUACUAUAUUCACCCUUCCCAAGUUUUGAGAGCUUGGAAAAGUUACUUGGUGGAACCAAAGAGAGGAACUGCAUUCCAAGUUUUUUUGAUCACUGAAAUGAAGGAAAAUAAGUUUCCCCAUAUGUGGUUAUUCAUGAGCCUUCAUCUGAAGCUGGUGGUUUUCUCAUAGUUGGUCACUGUAUUUCCAGCUCUGUCAGGUGAAAGUCAGAAUCUUGGGUUAAUUUCACUUUGGGUUCCUUAAAAUGCUGGAGAAAAUAGGCAGCUGCGGUUGUAGUGGGGAAACAGGCCUCUGUCUGAAGUCAGCUUGCUCUAGAUUGUGUUUGAAAACAUGCCUCAGAUUUAAGUGGUCUUGCUUUUUUUCCAGACUCCCUUGCCUUGGCAGAUUCUGUGUCUUGGCCAUACUGUAAGAACUCACUUUUCUUUGUCUUUUUAUUGAUUCAAGCAAUAUAACCAUUUCAUAAAUAAUUAGGAAAAUAAAGAAGAAAAUUUCUCAUAAUUCUACUGCUCAAACGCAAUAGCUAUGAUUGCUUUGGAGCAAUUGCUUUGGGUCAUUUUCAAAUGCUGAGUUUUGGUAUGAUUCUAAGCAUAAUGUACAAACAACUUUACAUGUUGCUUUUUCACUUAAUCUAUGUCAGAAGCAUCUCCCCAAGUUAUGAUUAGCUUCAGUAAUUAUCUUUUUAAUUGCUGCCCAAACAGCUGGAACAAUUCAGUCCCUCUUAUUGACUUUCCAUGUGUCCUAUGGAAGUAGAGACAGUCUAUUAACUAUUUCUGUAUUUUGGGACAAUAGAUCAAAUUCAUUUUUCACUGUAAUUAAUCCCAUGAUAAGUAUCUUUAUAAAUAAGCCUUUUCUAUAUAUAAGAUAAUUUCUUUAGGAUAAAUUCCUAGAAAUUACAGGGUCAAAGUGGAUACAUAUUUUAUGACUCUUGAUAUUUCUUAUUGACCUUUAAAGCUAUUAUGUGACUUUAUAUUAUCACCUAAAAUGUUUGAGGAAUUCAUGCUUUACGAGCGUAUUUUAUUGACUAAAUAUGCAGUACUGAGAGAGCUUUAUGUGUGCAGUUUGAUGAUGCUGACAGAUAUCCCGGAGAUAAACAUUUUUUAAUUUAAAGAUGUUCUGUUUAUGUUUAACAUACAGAAGUUAAUGUUAAACAUGAUGCCUAUUUUGUUUAACAUACAGAAGUGACUGUAUUAAAGCCAUUUCUUCUAAAUGUGCAAU